rnacentral:rRNA from 1 species
AGACUCUGUGCGCGUGCAUAUCAAUAAGCGGAGGAAAAGAAACUAACAAGGAUUCCCUUAGUAACGGCGAGUGAAGCGGGAAGAGCUCAAAUUUGAAAUCUUCAAGGUUUUACCUUGACGAAUUGUAGUUUAAAGAAGUGUUUUCUGCUGAAGUUUUGGUAAAAGUUCUUUGGAAUAGGACAUCAUAGAGGGUGAGAAUCCCGUAUUUGACCAUUAUUUUCAGCUUUGUGAUACACUUUCAAAGAGUCGGAUUGUUUGGGAAUGCAGACCAAAAUGGGUGGUAAAUUUCAUCUAAAGCUAAAUAUUGGCGAGAGACCGAUAGCGAACAAGUACCGUGAGGGAAAGAUGAAAAGAACUUUGAAAAGAGAGUUAAACAGUACGUGAAAUUGUCAAAAGGGAAGCGUUUGACACCAGUGUUGUUUUUCUGAAAAUCAACUAAAGAACUGUUUAUGCUAAGUUGUUUAGACUUUAUCAGCUAACUGUUUAGUUUUGAGCUUCUCUUUAAUGCACUUUUCAGUUAACAAGUCAACAUCAAUUUCUUUUGCUGUAAAAAAGCUUGAGGAAGGUGGCUUGAGAUUCGUCUUAAGUGUUUAUAGCCUCUUGCCUAUGCAGUCGGAGAGAUUGAGGUCUGCAGCGUAGAUCCUUCGGGGCUAAAUGCAUUUGUGCUAAGUUAUAGCAUUUUAUAGACGACUUGUUGACUAUGAUUUGUCUUGUAGCUUACUCGCUUAUGUUAUUUUACCUACGCUUAGGAUGUUGAAGAUGUAGCACAUCAU